GUAAUUACUCACCAUAAAAGUAGUGAUGACGAGCUGACCGAAACGCACCCACCCAUUAUAAUGAGAGCCCACCUAACGAAAAUUCGCAUAUCUUUGCAAGGUCGUGGACAAAUCAUCGCAACAACACCUCUCACUGGUUUCCUCAGCUCUUCUUGUUAAGGAUUUUCUUGAUGGAGAAGAAUAACUAUCCACCAAAUUAUCAGGGUUUCCCGUACUUCCCUCCUCCAUCGGCAUGGAUCGAUCAGAAUUCGGUAUCAUCCGACGAUUGUGACUACAACACUCCCACGUGGGUCAUCGUCUGCAUAGUGCUUGUCGUGGUCAUACUCUUCGGUUUCCUUUUCUACUACUUCCUGAGGCAAGAGAAGAAAUUCUGGCAAAAAGUAUCUGCUCCGGUUGCAAAGCCAGCGACACCUGCGCCAACUGCAAAGCCAGCUUGAUCCAGCUCCACCAGCCAAGCCGCCGCCAGCGGGCAUCCCGAUUUCAUUCCCUGCCUUCUGUGCAAGUAAAAGAUGGAAUAUAAUGCAGUGCAUCCAAACAACAAAUCAGACAGAAAAUACAAUAAUUUAUUAGUUUGAAAGCUUCUGUGGAUGUUUGUGUGUUGAAACUUGAAUGGUGCACGGUGACAAAUCGUCUGUAUUACUGUGCAACAUUAAAGAUUUGAUCAAAUAAAUAGUUUUUGUGUUGGAGGAUCUGUCGAAUUACUUCUAAUAAUACAUGUUCGGAACACAACAAA